AGCCCAGCACCGAAUCCCGCGCCUGACAUCGGGCGCCGGGAAAUGUGGUGUUCGGGAGGGUCCAUUAUCUCGAGGUCACGCGGCGCGUCCAAGUCCUUCUUGAACGGGGCCAUAACCCAUAGAGGGUGCCAGGCCCGUAGCGAUCGCCGCUGAUCGAGGGAGGAUCUCUCCUCAGAGUCGGGUUGCUUGAGAGUGCAGCCCUAAGUGGGUGGUAAACUCCAUCUAAGGCUAAAUAUAACCACGAGACCGAUAGCGAACAAGUACCGUGAGGGAAAGUUGAAAAGCACUUUGAAGAGAGAGUUCAAGAGUACGUGAAACCGUUUAGGGGUAAACCUGAGAAACCCGAAAGGUCGAAGGGAGAAAUUCAAUCGCGUUUCGCGAUCGGCGUUACGGCGUUCGAUUGACGGAGGAUGUGCGUUCGCGUUUAUCCUUCCGCUACUUACGUUUAACGAUCCGGUUACGAACGCGUGCACUUUUCUCCUGGUAGGACGUCGCGAUCCGUUGGGUGUCGGUCUACGGCUCGCGGUGGAGACGGCGGGCGCUAGUUUAUUCGAGCGCCCGCCGACCCGAGUGUUUACCCGGCCGACUCGCUCGACGGUAUACGAAAGGUUUAAGGUCGCACACGUACCCCGUGCGUUCGAAUCGCGGCAAGCGCGUCAGUUGUUCGUCGGUGAUCGGACCUAGUGCCGAUUCUGACCUCUGAUGACUGUUGGCCGUCGAAUUUCUCGGACAGACCUGUCGUUUCUAACGAAAACCGAUCGGCGACGCUAUAGCUUUGGGUAAUUUCAGGACCCGUCUUGAAACACGGACCAAGGAGUCUAGCAUGUACGCGAGUCAUUGGGAAACGAUAAACCUAAAGGCGUAAUGAAAGUAAAACGAUCCGUCUCGCGCGGAUCGAGGGAAGAUGAGCGGUUAACCCUUAAAAGUGGCCGUUUCGCAUUCCCGGGGCGUCUCGUUCUCAUCGCGAGAAGAGGCGCACCAAGAGCGUACACGCUGGGACCC
rnacentral:rRNA from 1 species